AGAGUUUGAUCCUGGCUCAGGAUAAACGCGGCGGCGCACAUAAGACAUGCAAGUCGAACGGGAAGUCGUUUUAGUGAUUUUGAUAUGAAAGAUUUAUCCGGAUUUGAAGAUGAUCUAAAACAAUGGCUUUAGUGGCGGACUGGUGAGUAACACGUAAGCAACCUGCCUGUUAGAGGGGAAUAACAACGAGAAAUCGUUGCUAAUACCGCAUAUGCCAUAAGAACCACAUGGUUCUAGUGGGAAAGGAGUAAUCCGCUAACAGAUGGGCUUGCGUCUGAUUAGAUAGUUGGUGGGGUAACGGCCUACCAAGUCGACGAUCAGUAGCCGGACUGAGAGGUUCAACGGCCACAUUGGGACUGAGAUACGGCCCAGACUCCUACGGGAGGCAGCAGUCGGGAAUAUUGCGCAAUGGAGGAAACUCUGACGCAGUGACGCCGCGUAUAGGAAGAAGGUUUUCGGAUUGUAAACUAUUGUCUGCAGGGAAGAAACAAGACUGUACCUGCAAAGAAGCUCCGGCUAACUACGUGCCAGCAGCCGCGGU
rnacentral:rRNA from 1 species